rnacentral:lncRNA from 1 species
UUCCACUCAUGAUUUGGAGGCACAGUCAAAAACUAUAUUGCCCUCCUCCCAUCCUCACUACAAAUUUGUGCAUAAGCUGAACCAUCAUCAAGUACCUUUGUUUCCAUCCGAGUUGUAAUAAUAUAUGGUUGUCCUAAAAUAAGAGGAUAAGAUGUUGCAUCUUGAACAAAAUUUUUUUGUUCCAUUGUAACAUCACCAAUCCAAAUUUUCACAUCCGAGCAAGUACCAUAUAACUCCUCAUGUGUAUUAUUGGCUGUCCGUAUUGCCCACCCAUGCUCCAUGUCAAUUGGCCACCUUUGCUUCAUAUAAAAAUCUUUAGACAUAAGGUUUAUCUCUGAACCAUAGUCAAUCAAAGCAACAACCGGUUCAUCUUUAUCUCCAAUCUUCACUAAUGCCUCUGUAGUUGCUCUAGCCUAAUACUUUCAAGUAUAAUGACUUGAAAUCUUUCUAUCUUUAUUACCUUGAUCAUCAAAACGUACCCUUUGAUUAUAACUCCUCCCUUCACUUGUUGAUUGUUUGUAACAAUUAUCGAAUACAUCUUCUUCACCUUCAUAUAUGUAUGCAUUAAUAGCAUGAUUUAAUCCUGCUUCUCCCAUUAAUUGCCUCUUUCAUUUAAUACUGUCAAUAAUGACAUCAUGGAAUUCUUUCUUAGCAAUUCCUAAAAUUUCUUUCAAUGUAAAUUCAACCUUAGUAUUGAGCACUCGUUCUUCAAGCACUCCCUUUAAAUCUGUUGCCGCUUCAAUAUCAGAGAGUAGUUUAUAAGUUG